rnacentral:tRNA from 1 species
CUGCUCGUGAGUCGCUGGUAGGCAAUUGGACUAACAAUCCAAAGGUCGUCAGUUCGAAUCCCGGGAUGA